UACGUAGGGUGCGAGCGUUAAUCGGAAUUACUGGGCGUAAAGCGUGCGUAGGCGGUCACAUAAGCUUGAUGUGAAAGCCCCGGGCUUAACCUGGGAAUGGCAUUGAGGACUGUGUGGCUGGAGUGCGGCAGAGGGAGGUGGAAUUCCACGUGUAGCAGUGAAAUGCGUAGAGAUGUGGAGGAACACCGAUGGCGAAGGCAGCCUCCUGGGCCGACACUGACGCUGAUGCACGAAAGCGUGGGGAGCAAACAGG
rnacentral:rRNA from 1 species